UUUUGGACAAUGGGGGCAACCCUGAUCCAGCAAUGCCGCGUGAGUGAAGAAGGCCUUCGGGUUGUAAAGCUCUUUUGUCAGGGAAGAAACGGUGGGGGCUAAUAUCCUCUGCUAAUGACGGUACCUGAAGAAUAAGCACCGGCUAACUACGUGCCAGCAGCCGCGGUAAUACGUAGGGUGCAAGCGUUAAUCGGAAUUACUGGGCGUAAGGCGUGCGCAGGCGGUCGUGCGAGACAGAUGUGAAAUCCCCGGGCUCAACCUGGGAAUUGCAUUUGUGACUGCACGGCUAGAGUGUGUCAGAGGGGGGUAGAAUUCCACGUGUAGCAGUGAAAUGCGUAGAUAUGUGGAGGAAUACCGAUGGCGAAGGCAGCCCCCUGGGAACACUGCGCUCAGCACGAAA
rnacentral:rRNA from 1 species